rnacentral:rRNA from 1 species
UACGGGAGGGGGCUAGCGUUGUUCGGAAUUACUGGGCGUAAAGCGCACGUAGGCGGCUUUGUAAGUUAGAGGUGAAAGCCCAGGGCUUAACCCUGGAAUUGCCUUUAAGACUGCAUCGCUAGAAUUGUGGAGAGGUAAGUGGAAUUCCGAGUGUAGAGGUGAAAUUCGUAGAUAUUCGGAAGAACACCAGUGGCGAAGGCGACUUACUGGACACAUAUUGACGCUGAGGUGCGAAAGCGUGGGGAGCAAACAGG